GAGUUUGAUCGUGGCUCAGAUUGAACGCUGGCGGCGUGCUUAACACAUGCAAGUCGAGCGGUAACAGGCGUAGCAAUACGUGCUGACGAGCGGCGAACGGGUGAGUAAUGCUUCGGAAUCUUCCUCGUAGUGGGGAAUAACCUGGGGAAACUCAGGCUAAUACCGCAUACGAACUACGGUUGAAAGCAGGGGGAUCGCAAGACCUUGCGCUAUGAGAUGAGCCGAAGUCGGAUUAGCUAGUUGGUGAGGUAAAGGCUCACCAAGGCGACGAUCCGUAGCUGGUCUGAGAGGACGACCAGCCACACUGGGACUGAGACACGGCCCAGACUCCUACGGGAGGCAGCAGUGGGGAAUAUUGGACAAUGGGGGCAACCCUGAUCCAGCGACGCCGCGUGUGUGAAGAAGGCCUGCGGGUUGU
rnacentral:rRNA from 1 species